CACGUAGGGUGCGAGCGUUGUCCGGAAUUAUUGGGCGUAAAGAGCUCGUAGGCGGUGUGUCGCGUCGGCCGUGAAAACCCGCGGCUUAACUGCGGGCUUGCGGUUGAUACGGGCGGGCUAGAGUUCGGUAGGGGAGACUGGAAUUCCUGGUGUAGCGGUGAAAUGCGCAGAUAUCAGGAGGAACACCGGUGGCGAAGGCGGGUCUCUGGGCCGAUACUGACGCUGAGGAGCGAAAGCGUGGGGAGCGAACAGG
rnacentral:rRNA from 1 species